GCGCCCAUCGUCUAGCGGUUAGGACACCGCCCUCUCACGGCGGCAACACGGGUUCGAGUCCCGUUGGGCGUA
rnacentral:tRNA from 1 species